UCCUCUUUAGCUCAGUUGGUAGAGCGCGUCACUAGUAAUGACGAGGUCAGUCGUUCGAGUCGGCUAAGAGGAA
rnacentral:tRNA from 1 species